UACAGAGGGGGCUAGCGUUGUCCGGAUUUAUUGGGCGUAAAGAGCGUGUAGGCGGUUAGGUAGGUCCGUUGUGAAAACUCGAGGCUCAACCUCGAGACGCCGAUGGAAACCAUCUAACUAGAGUCCGGAAGAGGAGAAUGGAAUUCCUGGUGUAGCGGUGAAAUGCGCAGAUAGUCAGGAAGAACACCCGUGGCUAAGGCGGUUCUCUAGUACGGUACUGACGCUGAGACGCGAAAGCGUGGGGAGCGAACAGG
rnacentral:rRNA from 1 species